rnacentral:rRNA from 1 species
UACGUAGGGUGCAAGCGUUAAUCGGAAUUACUGGGCGUAAAGGGCUCGUAGGCGGCCAACUAAGUCAGACGUGAAAUCCCUCGGCUUAACCGGGGAACUGCGUCUGAUACUGGAUGGCUUGAAUCCGGGAGAGGGAUGCGGAAUUCCAGGUGUAGCGGUGAAAUGCGUAGAUAUCUGGAGGAACACCGGUGGCGAAGGCGGCAUCCUGGACCGGCAUUGACGCUGAGGAGCGAAAACCAGGGGAGCAAACGGG